rnacentral:rRNA from 1 species
AAAGCGAGAAGACCCUGUCGAGCUUAAUUAAGAUUGUUUGUUUUAUUUAUAAUAAUUAGAAUUUUUGUUGGGGCAACAUUGGUUAAAAUAACGACUUAAUUUUUAAACAUAGAUCCUUUUGCUGAAAGAAAAUAGCAAAAGCUACCGCAGGGAUAACAGCGUUAUCCUUUUUAAGAGAUCGAAUUGAGAAAAGGGUUUGCGACCUCGAUGUUG